rnacentral:rRNA from 1 species
GGAAUCUUCCACAAUGGACGAAAGUCUGAUGGAGCAACGCCGCGUGAGUGAAGAAGGGUUUCGGCUCGUAAAACUCUGUUGUUAAAGAAGAACAUAUCUGAGAGUAACUGUUCAGGUAUUGACAGUAUUUAACCAGAAAGCCACGGCUAACUACGUGCCUG